AUAUUUCUUCCAAAAUGUCCAUCCGAAGUGCUCCGCAGAGACACAAGAGCCAGUGUAAGCUGGGGUCGUUCACAUGGUAACACCCUCCAUACAAACACCGAAGGUCAACGCUGAGCAAAGGUCUGGGAGAUGGGCGCUGGGGAGAGGAAUCUACAGGAAAAAGUGAAGUGUUUGUGCCCAGGUAGAAAAUACAGCAGGUGUGACCCUGAGAUGAGCGCCUAUCACAACAAGUCAGAGUGCCAAGCGAAACAGACGAAGAAGCACAGGGAGAUUACAGGUUCGCAGGUGCCGAGGCAACAAUCCUAUCUGUCAGCACCACAGUAACAGUAC